GAUGAAGAACACAGUGAAAUGCGAUAAGUAGUGUGAAUUGCAGAAUUCAGUGAAUCAUCGAAUCUUUGAACGCACAUUGCGCCCCUCGGUAUUCCGUGGGGCAUGCCUGUUCGAGCGUCAUUUACCCCUCAAGCACUGCUUGGUGUUGGGCGUCUGUCCCGCUUCGCGCGCGGACUCGCCCCAAAGGUAUUGGCAGCGGUCGUGCCAGCUUCUCGCGCAGCACAUUGCGCUUCUCGAGGCGGUCGAUCGGCGUCCACGAAGCUCACCUCCACCGUUUGACCUCGGAUCAGGUAGGGAUACCCGCUGAACUUAAGCAUAUCAAUAAGCGGAGGA
rnacentral:misc_RNA from 1 species